UCAGCAAAACACUUCAUUAGGCACUUGAUGUGUAAGGAUCCCAAGAAACGGCUGACGUGCAAGGAGGCCAUUGCUCACCCCUGGAUCUCUGGAGGUGCUGCUCUAGACAAGGAUAUCCAUGCAUCUGUCAGUGAACAGAUCAAGAAGACAUUUGCAAAACAAAAAUGGAGGCAAGCCUAUAACGCCACCGCAGUUAUACGUCAAAUGCGUAAACUAGCCAUGCACAACAAGGAGAGCGAAACGGGAUGAGAAGAGAAACCGAGCAGCUAGAUCAGUUCCACCUUGUUGUAACCCAGGUUUGAUAGGGUGAUGCAUUUAGGACCUCCUUCAGCUAGACAUCGAAGACAAAAAGGAGUUAGACCCCAUUUCUUUGACAUCCAACCUAUAUAUUGUGUAUUGUGAAUUUCAUAAAACUCGUACGUCUGGAAUGGAAUGAACUUUUGCAUUCUUCCUUGGCAUUGGUCAGUGGAGAUUAUGGAGAGAUGAUGACGCGCAGACCUCUUGACCAAUAAUUGGUGGAUAGAGAACGAGGUUGAUUUUGUUUGCCUGAUAAAUUCACAGGCUGUUUUCUAUAUUAUAAUGGUAGUGGUAGGCCCUGGGAGAGAUUAUGGUCAGAUUGGUUGGUAGGUAGGCAUCUUAAAACGAUUUGUGGCAGGUUACAUGUUCUGAAUACUGGAAUUAAUGAAGUAUGACUUGUGACCUUUUUUUACAGGAAUGAUGGCUGCAUGUGUAAAAGAUUGUAUCUGUAGGAAUUAUGAUAUUAGUACAGACACCUGUAAAAGCUCUGAAGUUUUUAAUUAAUAAAUAAUAAUACUUCUAAUUUCUUUUAAUACCAUUCUGAAUAUAAUGAGAUUUACUUACAGAUACUGCUACUUCUCAGUUCUUGAUCUGUCUAUCAGCUAAAAAAAAA